rnacentral:other from 1 species
GUUACCCUGCUGUGUUCGCGAUGCAGCACGUGCGUUUUGAGCCAACACCUACUUUUAAUCGGCCUUGAUUUCUGCGUGUACGCGAUAGGCUUCGGCCAAGGCGGAAGCGUGGAUGCGGGCCACUACCUGCGAGAGCAGGUUCAAAACAUGGCUGCACACGGCACGGCGGGGGACUG